rnacentral:tRNA from 1 species
GAGGGUAGAGCUCAGCGGUAGAGCGCGUGCUUAGCGUGCGUGAGGUCCUGGGUUCAAUCCCUGGUACCUCCA